UGAAUUAGAGUGAUAGACUCUAUGUAAAGCACUAAGGACUGUCAUUCUAAAUUUGGCUUGGAUAAUUUAUAAAAUGUUUUAAUUAUGAUUCGGAUAAAGCGAGAGAGAGCGCUACUCUCAAACUGUGAGGGGUGAGUGCACGGCUCUAACUUAUUGGGUCUAGGGAGGGUUUUUCUCUCUAGAAACCUUAACUUUAAGUGUCCUCCGAGAGGGAGGUUAUUAGAGAACUCACUGGAUUGUCACGCCCUGAUAUGUUUCACCUGUCCCUGUAAUUGUCUCCACCCCCUCCAGGUGUCGCUUAUUUUCCCCAGUGUGUUUAUCCCUGUGUUUCCUGUCUCUCUGUGCCAGUUCGUCUUGUAUGUUUUCCAAGUCAACCAGCGGUUGUCCCGUUCUCCUGCUUUUUGCAUUUCUCCUUUUUCUAGUCCUCCCGGUUUUGACCCUUGCCUUUUUUUCUGGACAUUGUACCCACCUGCCUGCCUUGACCUCGAGCCUGUCUGCCACUCUGAACCUCCUGGACUCUGAUCUGGUUUUGACCGUUUGCUUGUCCACGACCAUUCUCUAGCCUACCCCUUUGGAUUAUCAAACAUUGUAAGACUCCAACCAUUUGCCUCCAUUGUCUGCAUCUGGGUCUUGCCUUGUGUCAUGAUAGGAUGAUAACUUGAGUCAACCAUGAAGGGGAUUUUGUUUUACAAUGUCUUUUAUAAUCCUAAUGUUGAAGCAUAUCAAUACAUGUGGAUUGCUGGAUGACUCGGUACAAUAAAUUGCAUACAAGGCUCAUAGUCUGUGUCGUGCGUUGACACCCGAGGAUGAAAAUGAAGGAGACGGGCAUGGAGACUAGCAUCCCCAUGGGCAUAGAACAGAGCGGAUGGAUGGUUCUUUCCACUGUCUAAGUCGCAUCAAGAGUGGAACCAGAAGGAGAACGUUUGAAUGGAAGAAGUCAACAGCUCGAGUGGACAUGUUAUUAUCAGUGUUCUAUGAGAGAUGGAAAUAAGAGUGUGUAUGGUGUGAUUAUAGAACAGAGGCCAUAAGUCUCUGUGAAUGUUAAUCAUGUUUCAUUUUUUUGUUCGUGUUUUAUUAUCAUUGUUUGUUCAUUUUUAAGUCAUUUCCAAGUUUAUGUAAGUUGAACAGUAGGAAGCUCAUGUUUCAAGAGGAGGGAUUGUUGGGUUCUAAAAAAAAAAGAAA